rnacentral:pre_miRNA from 1 species
ACAUCCUAUGAGCUUGAUCCAAAGACCACCGGAGUUAAUGGGAGUCUUUCCAUUGACUUCAGUGGGCUUUGGAUCAAGCCCAGGGAGU